AUGAACGCUGGCGGCGUGCCUAAUACAUGCAAGUCGAACGCUUUGUGGUUCAACUGAUUUGAAGAGCUUGCUCAGAUAUGACGAUGGACAUUGCAAAGAGUGGCGAACGGGUGAGUAACACGUGGGAAACCUACCUCUUAGCAGGGGAUAACAUUUGGAAACAGAUGCUAAUACCGUAUAACAAUGACAACCGCAUGGUUGUUAUUUAAAAGAUGGUUCUGCUAUCACUAAGAGAUGGUCCCGCGGUGCAUUAGCUAGUUGGUAAGGUAAUGGCUUACCAAGGCGAUGAUGCAUAGCCGAGUUGAGAGACUGAUCGGCCACAAUGGGACUGAGACACGGCCCAUACUCCUACGGGAGGCAGCAGUAGGGAAUCUUCCACAAUGGGCGAAAGCCUGAUGGAGCAACGCCGCGUGUGUGAUGAAGGGUUUCGGCUCGUAAAACACUGUUGUAAGAGAAGAAUGACAUUGAGAGUAACUGUUCAAUGUGUGACGGUAUCUUACCAGAAAGGAACGGCUAAAUACGUGCCAGCAGCCGCGGUAAUACGUAUGUUCCAAGCGUUAUCCGGAUUUAUUGGGCGUAAAGCGAGCGCAGACGGUUAUUUAAGUCUGAAGUGAAAGCCCUCAGCUCAACUGAGGAAUUGCUUUGGAAACUGGAUGACUUGAGUGCAGUAGAGGAAAGUGGAACUCCAUGUGUAGCGGUGAAAUGCGUAGAUAUAUGGAAGAACACCAGUGGCGAAGGCGGCUUUCUGGACUGUAACUGACGUUGAGGCUCGAAAGUGUGGGUAGCAAACAGGAUUAGAUACCCUGGUAGUCCACACCGUAAACGAUGAGUGCUAGGUGUUUGAGGGUUUCCGCCCUUAAGUGCCGCAGCUAACGCAUUAAGCACUCCGCCUGGGGAGUACGACCGCAAGGUUGAAACUCAAAGGAAUUGACGGGGACCCGCACAAGCGGUGGAGCAUGUGGUUUAAUUCGAAGCAACGCGAAGAACCUUACCAGGUCUUGACAUCCCUUGACAACUCCAGAGAUGGAGUGUUCCCUUCGGGGACAAGGUGACAGGUGGUGCAUGGUUGUCGUCAGCUCGUGUCGUGAGAUGUUGGGUUAAGUCCCGCAACGAGCGCAACCCUUAUUACUAGUUGCCAGCAUUCAGUUGGGCACUCUAGUGAGACUGCCGGUGACAAACCGGAGGAAGGUGGGGAUGACGUCAAAUCAUCAUGCCCCUUAUGACCUGGGCUACACACGUGCUACAAUGGCGUAUACAACGAGUUGCCAACCCGCGAGGGUGAGCUAAUCUCUUAAAGUACGUCUCAGUUCGGAUUGUAGGCUGCAACUCGCCUACAUGAAGUCGGAAUCGCUAGUAAUCGCGGAUCAGCACGCCGCGGUGAAUACGUUCCCGGGUCUUGUACACACCGCCCGUCACACCAUGAGAGUUUGUAACACCCAAAGCCGGUGGGGUAACCUUCGGGAGCCAGCCGUCUAAGGUGGGACAGAUGAUUAGGGUGAA
rnacentral:rRNA from 1 species